CAGAGCGUAGCUAAAAUAGCAUAGCAUCUCCCUUACACCGAGAAGGUGUCCGUGCAACUCGGGCCGCACUGA
rnacentral:tRNA from 1 species